rnacentral:rRNA from 1 species
AUUGAACGCUGGCGGCAGGCCUAACACAUGCAAGUCGAACGGUAACAGGAAGAAGCUUGCUUCUUUGCUGACGAGUGGCGGACGGGUGAGUAAUGUCUGGGAAACUGCCUGAUGGAGGGGGAUAACUACUGGAAACGGUAUCUAAUACCGCAUAACGUCGCAAGACCAAAGAGGGGGACCUUCGGGCCUCUUGCCAUCGGAUGUGCCCAGAUGGGAUUAGCUAGUAGGUGGGGUAACGGCUCACCUAGGCGACGAUCCCUAGCUGGUCUGAGAGGAUGACCAGCCACACUGGAACUGAGACACGGUCCAGACUCCUACGGGAGGCAGCAGUGGGGAAUAUUGCACAAUGGGCGCAAGCCUGAUGCAGCCAUGCCGCGUGUAUGAAGAAGGCCUUCGGGUUGUAAAGUACUUUCAGCGGGGAGGAAGGGAGUAAAGUUAAUACCUUUACUCAUUGACGUUACCCGCAGAAGAGGCACCGGCUAACUCCGUG